rnacentral:rRNA from 1 species
UACGGGGGGGGCGAGCGUUGUUCGGAAUUACUGGGCGUAAAGGGCGCGUAGGCGGUUGGAUAAGUCAGCUGUGAAAACCACGAGCUCAACUUGUGGCCUGCAGUUGAGACUGUCUGGCUAGAGUGUGGGAGAGGGAAGUGGAAUUCCUGGUGUAGCGGUGAAAUGCGCAGAUAUCAGGAGGAACACCGAUGGCGAAGGCAGGUCUCUGGGCAUUAACUGACGCUGAGGAGCGAAAGCAUGGGGAGCGAACAGG